rnacentral:snRNA from 1 species
UCUCCUAGUUUCUUUAAUGAGU